rnacentral:rRNA from 1 species
AUUGAACGCUGGCGGUAGGCCUAACACAUGCAAGUCGAACGGCAGCACAGUAAGAGCUUGCUCUUACGGGUGGCGAGUGGCGGACGGGUGAGGAAUACAUCGGAAUCUACUUUUUAGUGGGGGAUAACGUAGGGAAACUUACGCUAAUACCUCAUACGACCUACGGGUGAAAGCAGGGGAUCUUCGGACCUUGCGCGAUUGAAUGAGCCGAUGUCGGAUUAGCUAGUUGGCGGGGUAAAGGCCCACCAAGGCGACGAUCCGUAGCUGGUCUGAGAGGAUGAUCAGCCACACUGGAACUGAGACACGGUCCAGACUCCUACGGGAGGCAGCAGUGGGGAAUAUUGGACAAUGGGCGCAAGCCUGAUCCAGCCAUACCGCGUGGGUGAAGAAGGCCUUCGGGUUGUAAAGCCCUUUUGUUGGGAAAGAAAAGCAGCAGGUUAAUACCCCGCUGUUCUGACGGUACCCAAAGAAUAAGCACCGGCUAACUUCGUG